UACGGGGGGGGUAAGCGUUGUUCGGAAUUACUGGGCGUAAAGGGCUCGUAGGCGGCCAACUAAGUCAGACGUGAAAUCCCUCAGCUUAACUGGGGAACUGCGUCUGAUACUGGAUGGCUUGGAUUCGGGAGAGGAAUGCGGAAUUCCAGGUGUAGCGGUGAAAUGCGUAGAUAUCUGGAGGAACACCGGUGGCGAAGGCGGCAUCCUGGACCGGUAUUGACGCUGAGGCGCGAAAGCUAGGGGAGCAAACGGGG
rnacentral:rRNA from 1 species